UUCAAAGCUGAGAAGUGAUUUCAAGUCCUGAAGAAUCUGGUACAAGAAUUACAACAUUUUUGGCCUGGAUCGGAACUCUGACAUUGUCAAGUUCACGAUUCCUGAAUAUGCUAAUCAUUAGCUGGCAAUGAAUGUCUUUCUUCAAAAUAUAAAUUCCAGAUCUGGGUUUCUGAUUCGGCAUGUUUUUUGAAGCUCCCGCAAGAGAUUCAGAGAUUCUGUGCUUCCAAUCACCAGGAAUGAUGUCAAAGUGCAUAAAUCUGUGAGCAGCAAUGAAACUCACUUGGAGGGUCAUUCACAUGAAGAAAAACAUCUAGAACCAAGUGGCUUCAAGCUGCACAUGAAGUGGAAUGUUCCAGGAGCCGUUGUUGACACACAACCAGUACCUGUUCUUAAUAGUUAACACCUGACUCAUUCUCCAACAGCGUGUUUUAAGCUGUGUGAUGAUGGGCUCAGGACUUGCUCAGUUGGAUAGUACAAUUCACUGGAAUAAACGGUACCAAGAG
rnacentral:lncRNA from 1 species